UACGUAGGGUGCGAGCGUUAAUCGGAAUUACUGGGCGUAAAGGGUGAGUAGGCGGAAAUAUAAGUUAGAUGUGAAAAGCCUGAGCUUAACUUAGGUCGUGCAUUUAAGACUGUAUAUCUAGAGUUAGUUAGAGGGGGGUAGAAUUCCAAGUGUAGCAGUGAAAUGCGUAGAGAUUUGGAGGAAUACCGAUGGCGAAGGCAACCCCCUGGGAUGUAACUGACGCUGAGUCACGAAAGCGUGGGGAGCAAACAGG
rnacentral:rRNA from 1 species